UACGUAGGGUGCAAGCGUUGUCCGGAAUCACUGGGCGUAAAGGGCGCGUAGGCGGCGACCCAAGUCAGAUGUGAAAGUCCUGGGCUUAACCUGGGGACUGCAUUUGAUACUGGGUUGCUUGAAUUCGGGAGAGGAUAGCGGAAUUCCCAGUGUAGAGGUGAAAUUCGUAGAUAUUGGGAAGAACACCGGUGGCGAAGGCGGCUAUCUGGACCGACAUUGACGCUGAGGCGCGAAAGCGUGGGGAGCAAACAGG
rnacentral:rRNA from 1 species